rnacentral:lncRNA from 1 species
GAAGAUUACAACCUCCCAUUACGUGUCAGCCUUCGUCGGGUCCGGCCUGAAUAUCGAUUCUACCAUGCCAUAUGUUGUGACAGGAGCUGUCAUACGCACGUCCAGCUAGCUUUAUGUAUGCGAGUAAGCGGAUAUAAACAUGUGGGGACUAUACUUGCGAUGGUAAUAGUAUGAUGUCUAGUGUGUAGCUCGAGUUGGCAGCAUGCUUUACGAACCUGUUUCGUCGUUAAACACGUUGUGAGUUUGGUUUUAUUCAUAAAUAAAGGUGAUUUGCAUUAGUG